rnacentral:rRNA from 1 species
GCUCUUGGGUUGUAAACCUCUUUUCUCAGGGAAGAAAAAAAUGACGGUACCUGAGGAAUAAGCAUCGGCUAACUCCGUGCCAGCAGCCGCGGUAAUACGGAGGAUGCAAGCGUUAUCCGGAAUGAUUGGGCGUAAAGCGUCCGCAGGUGGCGAUGAAAGUCUGCUGUUAAAGAGUGAGGCUCAACCUCAUAAAAGCAGUGGAAACUACAUAGCUAGAGUACGUUCGGGGCAGAGGGAAUUCCUGGUGUAGCGGUGAAAUGCGUAGAGAUCAGGAAGAACACCGGUGGCGAAAGCGCUCUGCUAGGCCUGUACUGACACUGAGGGACGAAAGCUAGGGGAGCGAAUGGGAUUAGAUACCCCCAGUAGUCA